rnacentral:ncRNA from 1 species
AGGAGCGGUAUGAGUCGAAAGGUUCACGUACCGUUUUGUAGAGCAGUAGACGGGGUGACUCGUCUACUGACUUUAAU